rnacentral:lncRNA from 1 species
CUGUCAUGCAGCAAAAUUACCUACAAGUUGAGAAUGAAAAUCUCUCAGGAACUCUGCAACAAUUAGCAAAGCACUUCUGCCAAUAUGUAAUAAAACAAUCAGAACAAAAGGGCGGCUGGGUGUGACUAUAAACGCAGCCCCUGUGAUGCCAACUGGACAUAUUAUGGAGAUAGCUGCUAUGGGUUCUUCAAACACAACUUGACAUGGAAAGAGAGUGAGCAGUACUGCACUGACAUGAAGGCUACUCUCCUGAAGACUGACAACCAGAACAUUCUGGAAUACAUCAAAGCCAGGACUGGUUUAAUUCAUUGGGUCAGAUUAUCCCACCAGAACUCUAAUGAGGUCUGUAAGUGGGAGAUGGCUCAGUUCUCUAAAAAAAUAUGUUUGGGCUUUCUGAAGAUGGAAAAGGAAAUAUGAAUUGUGCCUAUUUUCAUAAUCAGAAAAGGCACUCUACCUUCUGUGAGAACAAACAUUAUUUAAUGUGUGAGAGGAAAGCUGGCAUGGCCAAGGUGGACCAGCUACCUUAAUGCAAGGAAAGGGGCAGGAUAUCACAGAUAAGGGCUUUAUUGCCCAAUAAAAGUUCUGAAUGAAGAAAUCAAUAGCCAUAAA